UUCAUUUUUUUGUUCACUUGAUGGAUAAGAGAACAAUAUCGAAAAUGUGUGAAAUUUGAUUUCCAGAUAGUUUAAAUAGUUUAGAUCAUAUUUAACGGUGCCGAUCAUCAAUUUGGAAGCUCUAUUAUCGAAAACAAAUCGGUAGUAAACCGAGUCAUUUACUACCGAUAGUAUUCUAGCAAAACUCAUAUAUGUAGAAAAUUCAAUAGUACCAAGGACUUGGUACUAACGAUAGUAUAGUAGCAUAAUUAAAUAUAUAUAUAUAAAUAUUUAUAUAUAAAUAAGUGUAGAGCUAUUAUGCUAUCGGAUGUAUAGAGGAUUUGAUACUUUCGAUUUUUUGACCCUUGGAUUAAGAAUUGCACCGGUGGAAUGAUUGCAGUCCCCUCUGGGAUUGAGCAGUACUACUAGGGUUGUGUGGCCCCCACAUGGUAAUACUAUUAAUUCAAAAGUUAAAAAUGAUUACAGGGGCUGAUCUAAGGGUCAAAAGUCGAAAGCAACAGAUACUCUAUACUUCUGAUAGUAUAGUAGCUCUACUCUUUACUUAUAUAGAGUAGGUAAAAACAUACAAAAUUUACCUCCAUUAUUAUGUUGGGUCGGCUAUCUAAUCUUUCAAAAUUUUAAUUUAUUUGAUUUGAGCUUGUCGAUGACGUUUUUAUUUUACAAUUUAAAUGCACUGUUUAUCUUUACAAAUUUAGUUAAUAUAUACUUUAUGUGAUUCUCUUAACUAUAAAUCAAUCAAAAUAAGUAAUUAGCUUAAAUUUUGAAGUCAAAGUAUCGUUCACUGAUUCAAAUCGAACAAAUUGAAAGAUUGAGUGGUAAACUAGCUGUCUCAAAAUGGUCUAUAGUACAGAUAAAUUCUAUAUGUUUUUUAUUUAUAAUAGAGUAUAAAUCUUAUGUCCAUAUAUCUUAAAAAAUUUAAAAUGUUUUUUCAAUUUUAUUUAUUAAAUAAAUAGUUGAUAAGACUAGUUAAAAAAUAUUAGGUUCCAGUUUUUCUUUUAUCGAAAGCCUUUUUUUUUUUUUUUUUUUUUUUUUUUCACACUAGCCGUAUUGCGGUUUUAUUUGAAAAUCUAUUUCUUGGAGGGAAUGGGUGUAAGUUUUAUAUCCAACAUUUGGAUGUUGUUACCAACCGUCUCUAGAGCAAGUGGCAAAAAAUUUGGUGGUUGAUAUUCGAGACUCAAGUUCGAAUCCUAGUUGAUAGUUGAUUCACAUUUCUAGUUAUGUUUAUUUUCAAAUGAAAUAAACGAAGCGGGUAGCGUGCUACUUAUCUCUCAAAAAAAAAAAAAUAUUUGAAUAAUGUUUUAACAAAUAAU
rnacentral:lncRNA from 1 species